rnacentral:rRNA from 1 species
UCGAACGAGACCUUCGGGUCUAGUGGCGCACGGGUGAGUAACGCGUGGAAACCUGCCAUUCUGUACGGAAUAACGAUUGGAAACGAUCGCUAAUACCGUAUACGCCCUGUGGGGGAAAGGUCCGCCGCAGAAUGAGGGGUCCGCGUCCGAUUAGCUUGUUGGUGGGGUAAAAGCCUACCAAGGCGAUGAUCGGUAGCUGGUCUGAGAGGAUGAUCAGCCACACUGGGACUGAGACACGGCCCAGACUCCUACGGGAGGCAGCAGUGGGGAAUAUUGGACAAUGGGGGCAACCCUGAUCCAGCAAUGCCGCGUGUGUGAAGAAGGCCUUAGGGUUGUAAAGCACUUUCCAUGGUGAAGAUGAUGACGGUAGCCGUAGAAGAAGCCCCGGCUUACUUCGUGCCAGCAGCCGCGGUAAUACGAAGGGGGCGAGCGUUGUUCGGAAUUACUGGGCGUAAAGGGCGCGCAGGCGGCCAAUCCAGUCAGGUGUGAAAGCCCCGGGCUUAACCUGGGAACUGCACUUGAUACUGAUUGGCUAGAAAACGGAAGAGGGCAGUGGAAUUCCCAGUGUAGAGGUGAGAUUCGUAGAUAUUGGGAAGAAC